rnacentral:rRNA from 1 species
CAAGGCAACGAUCAGUAGGGGUUCUGAGAGGAAGGUCCCCCACAUUGGAAUUGAGACACGGUCCAAACUCUACGGGAGGCAGCAGUGAGGAAUAUUGGUCAAUGGACGGAAGUCUGAACCAGCCAAGUAGCGUGCAGGAUGACGGCCUAUGGGUUGUAAACUGCUCUUAUACGGGGAUAGGUACCGUAUGAAUAAGGACCGGCUAAUUCCGUGCCAGCAGCCGCGGUAAUACGGAAGGUCCGGGCGUUAUCCGGAUUUAUUGGGUUUAAAGGGAGCGUAGGCCGUUUGUUAAGCGUGUUGUGAAAUGUCGGGGCUCAACCUGGGCAUUGCAGCGCGAACUGGCAGACUUGAGUGCGCGGGAAGUAGGCGGAAUUCGUCGUGUAGCGGUGAAAUGCUUAGAUAUGACGAAGAACUCCGAUUGCGAAGGCAGCCUGCUGUAGCGUAACUGACGCUGAAGCUCGAAAGCGUGGGUAUCGAACAGGAUUAGAUACCCUGGUAGUCCACGCGGUAAACGAUGGAUGCUCGCUGUUUGAGCGGCCAAGCGAAAGCGUUAAGCAUCCCACCUGGGGAGUACGCCGGCAACGGUGCAACUCAAAUGAAU